UUGAAAUAAUAUAACUCAAAUGACCAAAACCAUGAUUUUAAGAGGUCCUCGGUUUCCAUGGUAACAUCACAAUUGCUAUGUUACUGACGGCUAACACGCAGAAGAGUUAGAGUUUAAUACUAGAUAAUAACAAGAUGAAUAAAGAACAAAAUGACACCGAAGAUCCUGAAAUGAGUCCCAUGAUGGAUGCAGAGGUGUGUGAGAGUGACGAGACGUUUGUUCAGUCUCUAAACGAGUGUAUCGAGAAAGAGAAGAAGUACCUGCAGUGUCCAGAGGAGGGCACCGAUGAGCUGCGAUACAUAGUCUACCGCUCCGCAUUCAACAAGGUGAUUGGUCGAGCCUCGGCCUAUAGGAGACUCCUGCUGGACAUAAAGUCAGAGUAUGAUGGCGUCAUCAGGGAGAUGAAGAGGAGGGAGGAGGAAGCUGCAGCGUCCCGCCUGCAGUCCCUGCUGGAUUAUGCGGCUCACAUCACUGACAGAACCUUGGUCCUCCAGAACCAGACAGCAGAACUUCAGCAGGAGGUCCGGAGGCAGAAGUCCACCACCCAGAGCCUGCUGAUACCAGGUCUGACCGUGGCCCAGUCCGAAGACCCAGAGGUUCUGCUGGUCCAUCUGGGCCACCUGAAGACGCGGAGAGACGGCCUGCUGGACCGGAAGAUCCUGUGUGGUCCUGUGGAGGUCCAGACCCAGCUGACCUUAGACCUGCAAGAGGACCAGCUCCAGAGAGACCGCUUGAGGGCCCAGAACCAGCAGCUGAUGACCCGGUUCCGGCGCCUGAAGCUUCUGGGUCAGCAUCUGACGGCCUGGGAGGAAUCGGGUCAGACGGUUCUGCUGGAGGAGCUGCUGGGUUCUGUCAUGCAGAACCUCCAGGAGAUCGGAACAGAUCUGCACGACGAAGGUCCGACUUCACAUCCUGGAAAUGAACUGCUGGUUCUGGUGUUAGCAGGUUCUGGUUCUGGACAUGAUCCACCAGAACCUUUCAGAACCUUUGCUGUCGGUCCUGCAGGCGGUGAUGAAGAGUCGUUCUGCAUCCCAGCUGAGCUGCUGGAGGAAGAGGAGCCAACCGGGCUGGACGAGUCCAAACUGCUGAGGAACCACCUGGACAGGUUCCUGGACCUGCUCCAGUCCUCCCAGUAUGAGGCGGCGGCCCUCCAUGCGGCCCGGUCUCCGGUCCUGAGGGACUCGGACACUAUGGAGAUGUUCCGAGGUGUUUGGGUCCCGCCAGACUCCACCCCCCCUCUGCUGCUGUUCUUCCGGGCGCUCCUGGUUACCGCGGCGACCGGCAGCCGGCUGUCGGCGGCGCUGUCGCUAAGGGGCGUGACCUCAGCUCUGCAGCACGGAGACGUGCAGCUCAUCGCUAACGCCGUCACGCUCAACAAGCUGACCUUCUCUGAGGAUGUGGGCGACGCGCUCACUGAGCAUGCUCAGAGGAACCGGGGCGUGGCCGACCUCUGCCUGGCUCUGGCCUCCGCCGUCUACCAGGCCUGCAGCCACCACCAGAAGACCGCACUGAGCAUGUGCAGAAGAGGCCUGGUGCACGGCGCCGCCGAGGUCAUCAAGAGGAAGCAGCUUACCGCAGAGGAGAGCCUGUGGGUUCUGUCCCACGCGCCCAGCCUGUCCCUCCUCCAGCUGCUGACCAACACAGACGACAAUGGGGAGGCGGCCAUCUUGUCUGUGGGUGGGACCUUUGCCUCCAUGCUGGCGGACUUCAACCAGAACCGGCUGGCUCUGGAGCUUCUGGAAGGGUUCCUGAGGAGAGGUCCAGAUGUGCUGGCGUCGGCCAUCUUGGAGGACAGCAGUUGCUCGGUGGACGUCUGGGACCAGGUGGCGGCACUGUGCGCUGAACUGGACCAGGCCAACCUGAGCCGGGCCGUCCGCUCCAUUCUACAUGGACCUGGACCCUGGACAUCGGACCUGGAAGGGGAAUGGGUCAUGGAGCAUGUCUUCCUGUGAGAGUGGAAGUGGAGGACGGAAACAGGAAGUGGAGAACGGAGACAGGAAGUGGAGGACGGAGACAGGAAGUGGAGAACGGAGACAGGAAGUGGAGAACGGAAACAAGAAGUGGAGGAUGGAAACAGGAAGUGGAGGACGGAGACAGGAAGUGGAGGACGGAGACAGGAAGUGGAGGACGGAGACAGGAAGUGGAGAACGGAAACAAGAAGUGGAGGAUGGAAACAGGAAGUGGAGGACAUAUAAUGAUGAAGAUGCCGCUGGUCACAUGAUCAGCAGCCAUGGUGGAAACUCCAGUAUCAUAAACGUGAUGUGAACUGGACUUUGGAUCCUCUGCGGCUCGUUGGCCCGGUUCCGACCGCUCCGGCGCUGUAAACAGACUGGUGUUGCUAGGCAACGGCUGCUAAUUGGAGCCGCUGCUGACAUAGUCUUCAUCGCCAUCAUCACCAUCCUGCUGAGAGGCUAAAGAUAAUCCAGACAGAACCGGCGCGGCAGGCCAGAACCUUCCACUGGUUCCACUGGUUCAGGAGGUGCAAACAUCCAGAAGGUUAUUGAUGAAAGAGUCAGCAGAACGGGAUAAGUUGAAACCGAACUGGUCUGGUUCUGAACCGGUCUGGUUCUGACCCGUUUCCGUCUCAUGACUCAGUUCUGUUCAUGUUCAUCCAGGAACUGAGUCAGACCAGGACCAUUCAAGAAGGAGAACCGGUCACUGUUCUAUCUCCAUCUAUCAACAGCCGUCCAGAACCGGUUGCCCUGGUAACCCCCUUCAUAAUAAGAGUCUCUGAGCGGAUCAUGGCUGACCCAGAAGAAGAGAAGCUUCUCCUGCUGUGACUCAGCUCACAUGUCGCCGGCUGCAUGGCUCCAUGUGACCCCCGACACGCGUGUUCUGGGGUAUUUAUGGGGUAUGUCGGGGUAUUUAUGGCCCCCUGGUGUCGCCUGUUGCCCUGGAUCCCAGCCCAGCUGCUCUGCUGCCACCGCAUCGAUCCCUCCUCCUCCACUGUAGCUUCACUGCUCUAACUGGGGGUGGAACCCUCAUUUCCCAGCAGGCCUGAACGCAGCACGGCUCUGUCCCGCAGCGGUAGGAACGUUGCGGGACUCCUGAUGAGUGCACAGCUGCCACUGAACAUCUGGGCCCAUGGCGACUGCAGCUUCCACUCCUGGACUUCCGGUCUGAGCCCCAUCACCACCCCGCCACCACCAUGCCGCAGUGUUUCACAGGCCCGACUCAUUACUGCACAACAUUUUAUC